rnacentral:tRNA from 3 species
GGGUCGGUGGCGGAGCGGUCAAACGCACCUGACUGUAAAUCAGGCGGCUUUAUGCCUACGGGGGUUCGAAUCCCUCCCGGCCCACCG